GUGCUCACUUUAGCAGUACAUACACAGAAACUGAAAUGAUACAGAGAAGCCUAGCAUGACCCCUGCCUAAGGAUGACACACAAAUUCAUGAAGUGUUUCAUAUUUUC